GAUGAACGCUGGCGGCGUGCUUAACACAUGCAAGUCGAACGGAAAGGCUCCUGCUUGCAGGGGUACUCGAGUGGCGAACGGGUGAGUAACACGUGGGUGAUCUGCCCUGCACUUCGGGAUAAGCCUUGGAAACUGGGUCUAAUACCGGAUAGGACGAUGGUUUGGAUGCCAUUGUGGAAAGUUUUUCGGUGUGGGAUGAGCUCGCGGCCUAUCAGCUUGUUGGUGGGGUAAUGGCCUACCAAGGCGUCGACGGGUAGCCGGCCUGAGAGGGUGUACGGCCACAUUGGGACUGAGAUACGGCCCAGACUCCUACGGGAGGCAGCAGUGGGGAAUAUUGCACAAUGGGCGCAAGCCUGAUGCAGCGACGCCGCGUGGGGGAUGACGGCCUUCGGGUUGUAAACUCCUUUCGCUAGGGACGAAGCGCAAGUGACGGUACCUGGAGAAGAAGCAACGGCUAACUACGUG
rnacentral:rRNA from 1 species